GGACCGCCGCUGCUAAAGCGGAGGAAGGAAUGGGCAACGGUAGGUCAGUAUGCCCCGAAUAUCCCGGGCCGCACGCGGGCUGCAAUGGCUAGGACAGCGGGUUCCGACCUCGAAAGGGGUAGGUAAUCCCUUAAACCUCUCCGAAGUUGGGAUUGAGGGCUGUAACCCGCCCUCAUGAACAUGGAAUCCCUAGUAACCGCACGUCACCAUCGCGCGGUGAAUACGUCCCUGCUCCUUGC
rnacentral:rRNA from 1 species